rnacentral:lncRNA from 1 species
GUGCUUCCAGCUCGUUUUCGAUGUUGCGACUUUCGAAUCGUCGAUCGGCUCCGUUAAACUUGAUCUAGAGUAUUUGGAGUACCUAGAAAAUAAAUUUUAUUAUUUUUCGAUAUCAUUUGCCUAGUGAUCGAAUGGGCUCAAAAUCAACAAAUUUCAAUGGCCGUAGUGAGCCGUUUGCAAGUUUAACGGUGUAGAAAUAUCCAAAUCACGUGAAAUUUUGAUAGAAAAUUCUUUAUACUAUAUAAAACAAGAUUAAUAUCUUUGAUCUAAAAUUUUAAUGCCAUAUUAUCACGUUUUGUAAGAUUUUUAUUUUCAGCCGUUGAUUUUGAGCCCCUUCGUUCACUAGGCAAAUGAUAUCGUAAAAUCAUAAAAUUUAUUUUCUAGCUACUUCAAAUACUCUAGAUCAAGUUUAACGGAGCUGAUCGACGAUUCGAAAGUUGCAACAUCGAAAACGAGCUGGAAGCACGGAAGGCUCCGUGCUUCGGAUAGCAUAGUAGCCUCACUCUAUAUAUAUAUAUAUAUAUAUAUAUAUAUAGACAUGGCAUUA